rnacentral:rRNA from 1 species
UAGGGAAUCUUCCACAAUGGGCGAAAGCCUGAUGGAGCAACGCCGCGUGUGUGAUGAAGGGUUUCGGCUCGUAAAACACUGUUGUAAGAGAAGAAUGACAUUGNGAGUAACUGUUCAAUGUGUGACGGUAUCUUACCAGAAAGGAACGGCUAAAUACGUACCAG